GCGCCGGUGGCCUAACGGUUAUUGCGCUUGCCUUUUACGCAGAAGGCCAGGGUUCGAUUCCUUGCCGCGGUU
rnacentral:tRNA from 1 species